AUUGAACGCUGGCGGCAAGCCUAACACAUGCAAGUCGAACGAGUGGCGGACGGGUGAGUAAUGUCUGGGAAACUGCCUGAUGGAGGGGGAUAACUACUGGAAACGGUAGCUAAUACAGCAUACCAUCGGAUGUGCCCAGAUGGGAUUAGCUAGUAGGGGGGGUAAAGGCUCACCUAGGCGACGAUCCCUAGCUGGUCUGAGAGGAUGACCAGCCACACUGUAACUGCGACACGGUCCAGAGUCCUCCGGGAGGCAGCAGUGGUGAAUAUUGCACAAUGGGCGCAAGCCUUAUGCAGCCAUACCGCGUGUAUGAAGAAGGCCUUCGGGUUGUAAGAUACUUUCAGCGGGGAGGCGUUACCCGCAGAAGAAGCACCGGCUAACUCCGUGCCAGCAGCCGCGGUAAUUC
rnacentral:rRNA from 1 species